GCUUUGGUGCCUCAGUGGGAGAUUGCUUGCCUAUCACGCAUGUGGUCCAGGGUUCGAUUCCCUGCCGAUGCA
rnacentral:tRNA from 1 species